CCUUUUGCAGCAAUUACAGCUGCAAGUCUCUUGGGAUAUGUCUCUAUAAACUUGGCACAUCUAGCCACUGGGAUUUUUGCCCAUUCUUCAAGGCAAAACGGCUCCAGCUCCUUCAAGUUGGAUGGGUUCCUGCUGGUGUACAACGAUCUUUAAGUCAUACUGUAAAGGAUCUCGUCCUCCUCUUCUGAGGAGGAGUAGCGAGAAGGAUCGGAGGACCAAAACGCAGCGUGGUAAGUGUCCAUAAUUUAAUUUAAUGAAGAAAAAUGAACACUGAACAAAAACAAUAAACAAUAAACGAACAGUCCCGUAAGGUGAGUGACAAAACACUAAACAGGAAAUAAACACCCACCAAAACCCAGGUGGAAAAAGCCUACCAAAGUAUGAUUCUCAAUCAGAGAUAACUAACGACACCUGCCUCUGAUUGAGAACCAUACCAGGCCGAACACAGAAACCAACAUAGAAAAACAAACAGACUGCCCACCCCAACUCCCUGACCGUACUAAAACAAAGACAUACUAAAACAAAGGAACUAAGGUCCGAACGUGACAUAUACCACACAUUCUCAAUUGGAUUGAGGACUGUGCUUUGACUAGGCAUUUUUUUAUUUUUUAUUUUACCUUUAUUUAACCAGGCAAGUCAGUUAAGAACACAUUCUUAUUUUCAAUGAUGGCCUGGGGAACAGUGGGCAGAACGACAGAUUUCUACCUUGUCAGCUCGGGGGUUUGAACUCGCAACCUUCUGGUUACUAGUCCAACGCUCUAACCACUAGGCUACGCUGCCGCCCCAUUUACAAAACAUUUAAAUGUUUCCCCUUAAACCACUCAAGUGUUGCUUUAGCAGUAUGCCUAGGGUCAUUGUCCUGCUGGAAGGUGAACCUCCGUCCCAGUAUCAAAUUUCUGGAAGACUGAAACAGUUUUCCCUCAAGAAUGUCCCUGUAUUUAGCACCAUCCAUCAUUCCUUCAAUUCUGACCAGUUUCCCAGUCCCUGUUGAAGAAAAACAUCCCCACAGCAUGAUGCUGCCACCACCAUUCUCGGGGUGAUGAGAGGUGUUGGGUUUGUGACAGACAGCGUUUUCCUUGAUGGCAAAAAGCUCGAUUUUGAUCAAGUCUCAUCUGACCAGAGUACCUUCUUCCAUAUGUUUGGAGAGUUUCCCACAUGCCCUUUGGCGAACACCAAACGUUUGCUUAUUUUUUUUCUUUAAGCAAUGGCUUUUUCUGGCCACUCUUCCGUAAAGGGCACAUUUGAAAAAGAGACAUAUGUCUCAAUAUAUCUUCUCUGGUAAAAAAAAAUAAAGAUCACAGGAGUGCAGCGGUAUAAGGCUGUCACGAUUUCCACCGCAGUCGGUCCCUCUCCUUGAGGGACUGGGCAGCGUUCGACGGUCGACGCCACUGGCUUUCUAGCCAUCGCCGAUCCACUUCUCAUUUUCCAAUUGUUUUGUCUUUGUUUUCGACACACCUGCUUUCUAUUCCCCAAUUACAUGGUCAUUAUUUAACCCUCUGUUUCCCCAUGUUGGUGUGCGUGUUUGUAUAUCAUGUUUAGGUCGUUACUGGUUGGCUGGUAUUGUCUGUAUAUAAUGUUUAGGUCGUUACUUGUUGGCUGGUAUUGUCUGUAUAUAAUGUUUAGGUCGUUACUGGUUGGCUGGUAUUGUCUGUAUAUAAUGUUCAGGUCGUUACUGGUUGGCUGGUAUUGUCUGUAUAUAAUGUUCAGGUCGUUACUGGUUGGCUGGUAUUGUCUGUAUAUAAUGUUCAGGUCGUUACUUGUUGGCUGGUAUUGUCUGUAUAUAAUGUUUAGGUCGUUACUGGUUGGCUGGUAUUGUCUGUAUAUAAUGUUUAGGUCGUUACUGGUUGGCUGGUAUUGUCUGUAUAUAAUGUUCAGGUCGUUACUGGUUGGCUGGUAUUGUUAGCCGGGUUCGUUAUUACGCCCGUUAUUUAUUAAGAGUAACCGGUCAUUUCACGCACAUUUAGUAUUUGUUUUAUACUGGUGCUGUUUGUGGAAUAAAUUACCUUAUUAUACUCAUCUCUGCUCUCCUGCGCCUGAUUCCAUGAUUCCAGUUACCCACAGCCUGACAAAGGCACUGCAUCGCGUCACUACAGAUACCAGGCUGUGUCACAUCCGGCUGUGAUCAGGAGUCCCAUAGGGAAGCGGACAAUUGGCCCAGCGUUGUCCGGGUUAGGGGAGGAUUUUUGCCAGAUGGGCUUUACAUAGCUCACCGCGCUGUAGCGACUCCUUGUGACGGGCCGGGUGCGUGCAGGCUGACAUCGGUCGUCAGUUCAACGGUUUUUCCUUCGACACAUUGGUGCGGCUGGCUUCCGGGUUAAGAGGGCGGGUGUUAAGGAGCUCGGUUUGGCGGGUCAUGUUUCAGAGGACGCAUGACUUGACCGUGACCUCUCCCAGCCGGAUGGGGAGUUGCAGCGAUGAGACAAGAUCGAAUUUGGGGAGAAAAAUAAACAUAUAUACACUGUAUAUAAAGAUCACUAAAUUUAAAGACUUUGAGACUGAAAAUGUAGCCGUUACUUUCCACUGAUGACCUUUGGCCUUUGACAUUGGUGAAGAUGAAAUCUGACGGGUAGAGUAGGGAUGCACCCAAAAUGGCACCCUAUUAAAUCCCUAUAUCACUGCCUUUCACCAGACCUGAUCAAACAUAUUUCACUACGAAGGGAAUAAGGUACUAUUUGGAACAUAUCCUAGUGACCAAAAGUACUUCAGUAAAAACACUUGUAAGUACUACUUAAAGUAUUACAGUACUUAAGUCGUUUUUUUGUAAGUACUACUUAAAGUAUUACAGUACUUAAGUCGUUUUUUUGUAAGUACUACUUAAAGUAUUACAGUACUUAAGUCGUUUUUUUGUAAGUACUACUUAAAGUAUUACAGUACUUAAGUCGUUUUUUUGUAAGUACUACUUAAAGUAUUACAGUACUUAAGUCGUUUUUUUGUAAGUACUACUUAAAGUAUUACAGUACUUAAGUCGUUUUUUUGUAAGUACUACUUAAAGUAUUACAGUACUUAAGUCGUUUUUUUGUAAGUACUACUUAAAGUAUUACAGUACUUAAGUCGUUUUUUUGGGGGGGUGGGGGGUAUCUGUACUUUACUAUUUACAUUUUUUGACAACUUUCACUUGUACUUCACUUCAUUCCUAAAGAAAAUAAUGUACUUUUUUACUCCAUACAUUUCUUCUGACACCCAAAAGUACUCGUUCCAUUUUGAAGGCAGGACAUGUUAUUAAUCUUAAUCUCUCUCAAGAGAACAUCCCUGGCCAUCCCUAAAUGGUGACAUCUGGUUUAUAAGAAAUGUCUAAUUAUUUAUAUUUUUACUCUUGAUACUUUUUAUUUUAUUUUUUUAUUUUACCUUUAUUUAACUAGGCAGGUGAGUUAAGAACAAAUUAUUAUUUGGGGCAGAAACGACAGAUGUUUUACCUUGUCAGCUCAGGGAUUCAAUCCAGCAACCUUUCAGUUACUAGUCCAACGCUCUAACCACUAGGCUACCUGCCGUCCCUACACUCUAACCACUAGGCUACCUGCCGUCCCUACACUCUAACCAGUAGGCUACCUGCCGUCCCUACACUCUAACCACUAGGCUACCUGCCGUCCCUACACUCUAACCACUAGGCUACCAGCCGUCGCUACACUCUAACCACUAGGCUACCUGCCGU